rnacentral:rRNA from 1 species
GACGAACGCUGGCGGCGUGCUUAACACAUGCAAGUCGAACGGAAAGGCCCUGCUUUUGUGGGGUGCUCGAGUGGCGAACGGGUGAGUAACACGUGAGUAACCUGCCCUUGACUUUGGGAUAACUUCAGGAAACUGGGGCUAAUACCGGAUAGGAGCUCCUGCUGCAUGGUGGGGGUUGGAAAGUUUCGGCGGUUGGGGAUGGACUCGCGGCUUAUCAGCUUGUUGGUGGGGUAGUGGCGUACCAAGGCUUUGACGGGUAGCCGGCCUGAGAGGGUGACCGGCCACCAUGCGACUGAGAUACGGCCCAGACUCCUACGGGAGGCAGCAGUGGGGAAUAUUGCACAAUGGGCGGAAGCCUGAUGCAGCAACGCCGCGUGCGGGAUGACGGCCUUCGGGUUGUAAACCGCUUUCGCCUGUGACGAAGCGUGAGUGACGGUAAUGGGUAAAGAAGCACCGGCUAACUACGUG